rnacentral:rRNA from 1 species
AUGGUCCAAAUACUAUCCCUGAUCCACGACGGAGAUGGUAGACUGAGUAGCAUGCCCUACAUACCAGCAGAUGUCACAAACUUAAAGGCAAAAUACCGUAGAGAGAGCAGGUUGGCUGACAUAGAAGCCAUGAUAGCCUAUUUUGAAGAGAAAGCAAAAGAAGAUGCUAAUUUCUUCUACAGGAUAAGAUUGGACGAUGAGGACCGUGUCAGAAACAUGUAUUGGAUGGAUGGUGCUGCAAGAAGGGCUUACAAACAUUUCCAUGAUUGCAUAUCAUUCGACGCGACAUAUCUCACUAAUAUGUACAAGAUGCUCUGCGCUCCAUUCAUAGGAAUAAAUAACAACAAUCAGUCAUUGCAGUUCGGUUGCGGACUCAUUCAGAACGAAGAUACGGAUGGUUACACUUGGCUGUUCAAAACCUUCUUGGAGUGCAUGGAUGGACUUGCUCCGAUGAACAUAAUAACAGACCAGGAUUUUAGCAUGCGUGCAGGCAUAGGGGAGGUCUUUCCGUUGGCAGUGCAUAGGCACUACAGCCUGCAGGUGGCAUAUUAUUAA